CAAGAAGAGCUGGGCGAGCAUCCUUGCCGCCUCCCUCUGUGUUGCAGACGUGUUUCUCACUGAGAUGAGCCCUUUGCGAUCCUUGCUUAUGCCUCAGGCUCCUGUGUCCUCAUGAAACACCAGAUCCCCAAGACAAUAUUUAGUAUCGUUUGCAUCGUGACUUUUACAUAAUCGGGACCAUCAGCCCACUGCAAUAAGCCAGAGCUGCGAGUUUUCUACCAAGUCUCAGCUGCCAGCGAUGCACCAGAGCCAGAAGUGGAUCACUUGUCUCUCCAGCCCAUCACUGGCAAAGAGGAAUCAUCAUCUCUGGUUUUGUCCCCAGAGGUUGGGAGAGGCUUCGCUUCCCAGGAUCAAGAAUUCUCCACCCACUCCGUCAACAUAAAAGUGGCUGUGAGCAAUAAACACCAUCAUCCACAAAGGGCAAACCUAUUUUAGGGGAUUUAGAAUAUCGUUUGAAUCAGAGCAUCAUUUCCUUGUUGAAAUAGCUUCAUAUAAAUACUUGCCAAAUGCUUGAAGUUUGAAACGUAAGAUUUUUGUUCUUGCAAACAAAAGGA
rnacentral:lncRNA from 1 species